rnacentral:rRNA from 1 species
UACGUAGGGUGCAAGCGUUGUCCGGAAUUAUUGGGCGUAAAGAGCUUGUAGGCGGUUUGUCGCGUCUGCUGUGAAAUUUCGGGGCUCAACCCCGAACUUGCAGUGGGUACGGGCAGACUAGAGUGUGGUAGGGGAGAUCGGAAUUCCUGGUGUAGCGGUGAAAUGCGCAGAUAUCAGGAGGAACACCGGUGGCGAAGGCGGAUCUCUGGGCCGAUACUGACGCUGAGGAGCGAAAGCGUGGGGAGCGAACAGG